rnacentral:rRNA from 1 species
AUUGAACGCUGGCGGCAGGCUUAACACAUGCAAGUCGAACGAGUGGCGGACGGGUGAGUAAUGCUUGGGAAUCUAGCUUAUGGAGGGGGAUAACUACGGGGAACUGUAGCUAAUACCGCGUAACAUAGGAUGAGCCCAAGUGGGAUGUGGUAGGUGGUGAGGUAAAGGCUCACCAAGCCGACGAUCCCUAGCUGGUAUGAGAGGAUGACCAGCCACACUGGGACUGAGACACGGCCCAGACUCCUACGGGAGGCAGCAGUGGGGAAUAUUGCGCAAUGGGGGCAACCUGACGCAGCCAUGCCGCGUGAAUGAAGAAGGCCUUCGGGUUGUAAAGUUCUUUCGGUGGCGAGGCGUUAACUACAGAAGAAGCACCGGCUAACUCCGUGCCAGCAGCCGCGGUAAUAC